AAUCUGUGGAUCGAGGAUUCGUCCAAGUGAAGCAGAGGACAGUGGCGGACGGGUGAGUAACGCGUGAGGAACCUGCCUUUCAGAGGGGGACAACAGUUGGAAACGACUGCUAAUACCGCAUGAUACAUUUGGGUGGCAUCAUCUGAAUGUCAAAGAUUUAUCGCUGAAAGAUGGCCUCGCGUCUGAUUAGCUAGUUGGUGAGGUAACGGCCCACCAAGGCGACGAUCAGUAGCCGGACUGAGAGGUUGACCGGCCACAUUGGGACUGAGAUACGGCCCAGACUCCUACGGGAGGCAGCAGUGGGGAAUAUUGGGCAAUGGGCGCAAGCCUGACCCAGCAACGCCGCGUGAAGGAAGAAGGCUUUCGGGUUGUAAACUUCUUUUAAGAGGGAAGAGCAGAAGACUGUACCUCUAGAAUAAGCCACGGCUAACUACGUGCCAGCAGCCGCGGUAAUACGUAGGUGGCAAGCGUUGUCCGGAUUUACUGGGUGUAAAGGGCGUGCAGCCGGGAAUGCAAGUCAGAUGUGAAAUCCAUGGGCUUAACCCAUGAACUGCAUUUGAAACUGUAUUUCUUGAGUACUGGAGAGGCAAUCGGAAUUCCUAGUGUAGCGGUGAAAUGCGUAGAUAUUAGGAGGAACACCAGUGGCGAAGGCGGAUUGCUGGACAGCAACUGACGGUGAGGCGCGAAAGUGUGGGGAGCAAACAGGAUUAGAUACCCUGGUAGUCCACACUGUAAACGAUGAAUACUAGGUGUGCGGGGACUGACCCCCUGCGUGCCGCAGUUAACACAAUAAGUAUUCCACCUGGGGAGUACGAUCGCAAGGUUGCAACUCAAAGGAAUUGACGG
rnacentral:rRNA from 1 species